rnacentral:rRNA from 1 species
GAUGAACGCUGGCGGCGCGCCUAACACAUGCAAGUCGAACGGCACCCCUCUCCGGAGGGAAGCGAGUGGCGAACGGCUGAGUAACACGUGGAGAACCUGCCCCCUCCCCCGGGAUAGCCGCCCGAAAGGACGGGUAAUACCGGAUACCCCGGGGUGCCGCAUGGCACCCCGGCUAAACCCCGACGGGAGGGGAUGGCUCCGCGGCCCAUCAGGUAGACGGCGGGGUGACGGCCCACCGUGCCGACAACGGGUAGCCGGGUUGAGAGACCGACCGGCCAGAUUGGGACUGAGACGCGGCCCAGACUCCUACGGGAGGCAGCAGUGGGGAAUCUUGCGCAAUGGGGGGAACCCUGACGCAGCGACGCCGCGUGCGGGACGGAGGCCUUCGGGUCGUAAACCGCUUUCAGCAGGGAAGAGUCAAGACUGUAC